rnacentral:rRNA from 1 species
GAGGGUGAGGCCUGCCCAAUGGUUGUAUCUAAAAGCGGUUGAUAAAAGUCGACCGUGUAAGGACAAUUGAAUGGCCGCGGUAACACUGACCGUGAUAAUGUAGCGUAAUCAAUAGCCAAUUAAUUGUUGGCCAGUAUGAAUGGCGCCACGAAGGCCCCACUGUCUUAAGGAAAUUCCCAGUGAAAUUGAAUUCGUAGUGAAGAUGCUACGUCCAAUUUGUUAGACGAAAAGACCCCGUUGAGCUUUACUGGGGCACUUACACGGCCCCGGCCUUCAAAACUGGGUUGAUAAGCCAAGGCUUACCAUACCUAGGGACCGGCCGAAUUUAAAUGGGCGGCUUAGACUAUGUGGCAGCCCCCCCCGUCGGGGCAGAUGAAACCCCACUCCCCCAUGUCAAAGGGGCUAACCCCCCCCCUUGGGGGGGACAGUGUAAGUAGGACAGUUUGGUUGGGGCGACCGCCUUUUAGAGAGUAACGAAGGUGCGCUUAAGGUGCGUAAUUAAUGACUGAAGCCUGACUGCGAGGGGGACACCCCGAGCAGACACCCCCAAGCCCGCCCUCGCCUUCGUACCAACGGAGGGAGGGCGGCGGUGGGG